rnacentral:rRNA from 1 species
CUACGGGGUGCUGCAGUGAGGAAUUUUGCGCAAUGGGGGAAACCCUGACGCAGCAACGCCGCGUGAGCGAAGAAGGCCUUCGGGUCGUAAAGCUCUGUCAAGUGGGAAAAAAAUUCUUUGAUGAACAGUCAAAGGACUUGAUGGUACCACUGGAGGAAGCACCGGCUAACUCCGUGCCGGCAGCCGCGGUAAUACGGAGGGUGCAAGCGUUGUUCGGAAUUACUGGGCGUAAAGAGCGUGUAGGCGGUUUGACAAGUCAGAUGUGAAAGCCCCGGGCUCAACCCGGGAAGUGCAUUUGAAACUGUUUCACUAGAGUAUGGGAGAGGAGAUUGGAAUUCCUGGUGUAGAGGUGAAAUUCGUAGAUAUCAGGAGGAACACCCGUGGCGAAGGCGAUUCUCUGGACCAAUACUGACGCUGAGACGCGAAAGCGUGGGGAGCAAACAGGAUUAGAUACCCUGGUAGUC